AAUGGGAGUUCUUGCUGGGGCAGAGCACCUUUGGGGGUGCUCGCCACUUGAGGGCUUUCACAGGCCCUGAGUGGAGCCUGCUUGGGCGGGGCAGCAGGGGGAACCUCCCCCAGGAACUAUUCUA